rnacentral:sRNA from 1 species
GAGAGAACGUUGCGUCAGCAACGGCCCGCAGGGCGAGCCACGCAGUGGCGAGUCAUCCUCUAUCACCGGCAG